AUUGAACGCUGGCGGUAUGCUUAACACAUGCAAGUCGAACGGCAGCAUUAUCUAGCUUGCUAGAUAGAUGGCGAGUGGCGAACGGGUGAGUAGCGCGUAGGAAUAUACCUUUUAGUGGGGGAUAACUCGAGGAAACUCGAGCUAAUACCGCAUGAGCUCUAAUGAGGAAAGCUGGGGACCUUCGGGCCUGGCGCUAGAAGAUUAGCCUGCGUACGAUUAGCUAGUUGGUGGGGUAAAGGCCUACCAAGGCGACGAUCGUUAGCUGGUCUGAGAGGAUGAUCAGCCACACUGGGACUGAGACACGGCCCAG
rnacentral:rRNA from 1 species